GAUGAACGCUAGCUACAGGCUUAACACAUGCAAGUCGAGGGACCGGCGCACGGGUGAGUAACACGUAUCCAACCUGCCCUUUACUCGGGGAUAGCCUUUCGAAAGAAAGAUUAAUACCCGAUAUAAAGGAUGGGGAUGCGUUCCAUUAGGUUGUUGGUGAGGUAACGGCGCACCAAGCCUUCGAUGGAUAGGGGUGCUGAGAGUAAGGUCCCCCACAAUGGAACUGAGACACGGUCCAAACUCCUACGGGAGGCAGCAGUGAGGAAUAUUGUGCAAUGGGCGCUAGCCUGAACCAGCCAAGUAGCGUAAAGGAUGAAGGCUUUGGAGUCGUAAACUUCUUUGAUAGAAGAAUAUGUAUUAUAUGAAUAAGGAUCGGCUAACUCCGUGCCAGCAGCCGCGGUAAUUC
rnacentral:rRNA from 1 species